GACGAACGCUGGCGGCGUGCUUAACACAUGCAAGUCGAACGGAAAGGCCCCUUUGGUGGUACUCGAGGGGCGAACGGGUGAGUAACACUUAAGUAACCUGCCCUUGACUUCGGGAUAACUUCAGGAAACUGGGGCUAAUACCGGAUAGGAAUCCUUGCUGCAUGGUGGGGGUUGGAAAGCUUGGGCGGCUUUGGCUUGACUCGCGGCUUAUCAACUUGUUAGUUGGGUAGUUGCUUACCAAGGCUUUGACGGGUAGCCGGCCUGAGAGGGCGACCGGCCACAUUGGGACUGAGAGACGGACCAGACGCCUACGUGCGGCAGCAGACGGGAAUCUUGCCCAAUGGGCGGAAGCCUGAUGCAGAGACGCCGGGUGCGGGAUGAUGGGCUUGGAGUUGAAAACCGCUUUCAGCAGGGACGAAGCUUGUGGUGACGGUACCUACAGAAGAAGCACCGGCUAACUACGUG
rnacentral:rRNA from 1 species